GUGAGACUCUCCCCAAUCUCUAUAGUAACUGGGAGGCAACAGUUCUAAGUUCCAUGGGAGACUUCUGAGGAAGGGAAGAAGCAGUAAGAGUACUCAAUGGGAAUAGCAAAAAAAAAAAAAAUCCUGCAUGGUCAUAAAUAAGCAAUAGAGCUGAAGAACAUGCAACCUGGGAAAAGCUGAAAAACAAACCCAGAAGAGAAUUCUAGAGAAACUGGACAAAAACAGGUGAGACAGCAGCUCCAACAGGGCAUCACAUCAACUGAAAUGCAGAGUAAGGAGCCAGCACAAAGGGGACUCCAGAAAUGUAAGGAACACAGAAAUUGCCAAAAUGAGUCAGAGCAGCGAUCCAUCUACUCUAGUAUCCUGUCUGUGACAGUGACCAGUACCUGAUACUUCAAGAAACCCUGUGAAGGUCAAUUAUGAAAUCACUUACCCAUGUAGGAAAGAUUCUUGCUUAUUACAAGAAAUAAGGAGACCCCAGCACCAUGUGACCAGCCAGCUCACUGCAGACUGCCAGGAAGUGCUCUGCGGGCUAUUGGUGUUCCACAGACCACAAUUUCAGAACACC